rnacentral:lncRNA from 1 species
GCCCCGCCGAGUGGAGCUCCCGCCAUCUUGCCCCGCCCCCCCCACAGCCCAGUCACCUUUUCCCUUUCUACACUCUCUGUCCACCACUCCGUCCCUUUUCAAUCGUGUCCCAGGCCUCAGCAGCAGAAACCGCGCCAUCUCUACCCCUACAUUCUCCACGCGGGACGCGCAGCCGUGCCUACAAGUGUCCUUAAAGCAGAGGUUGUAGGGGGUGUGGGGAGCGGUGGGGAGCGGGGAAGAGGUCAGGGGACGCGAGGGGCGCAGAGCGCGGAGCCCGGCGUUUCGCGCUCGCGUGCCUGCCCUGCCCUGCCCCCGGCUGCCGGCGAGCAAUUGGCGUGUCCGCCCGAGGGCUGCCAAGCGGGCGGCUGUGUGCGGCGCCGGCCCAGCGCGGCGCCUGGGUUCCCUGCGGUUGUGGGGUUGACUCCUGACUCCUCCCCGUUGGCCGGUGGGCGUGGGGCUCGCAGAGCUGGGCCGGCGAGCCGCCUUGGUGCUGGGCUCUACGCUAAGAGGCGCCCUCGCGGGUCUUUUAGGGAGUGCUGGGGGAGCGGGGCUCUGGAGGAAGAGGUCGCAGCAUGGCCUGGUGGAGGAAGACUUCGGAGAGCUUUACUCCUCGUGUAGCGCCCAGAAAGGAAAAGCUCUACCGUUCUAGAUGAAACGAGCCCACAUCUGUGACCACCGGGGAAAUUAUGUAGCCUGUCUUUGCCUCGGUUUCGGGGUCUGUAAAAUGAGGAUUGUAAUAGCUUAGUUUAAAAUCGUGAGGUUUCUAGAACAGUGUUUGGCACUGCUCAGUAUGACAGCUAUGAUGCUUUUGAUCUCCAUGUUUUAAUAGUUCAGAAAGACUGAUUCUUAUUUUCUCAGUUAAACAUCAGGACACUUGGCUCAUAAAUGAGACUGAAGUUAUGGUAUAGUACCUAAAAGAGCAUCCUGGACACAGUGCUAUUAUUCUACACGUGAAUAAAUUAGCAUAUCUUGGGAGAUAGAAACUUUACGUUAUUCUAAAGAAGUUGAGAAUAUAUUUAUCUGGGAGGAGAAGACCUCUGCAAAGAUGUACUUGAAGAAGGAACUGGUGGAAUUUCUGGAAUGUUCCAAAUAGGCUGAGUUUGACCUGCUGUGAGGAACAAUUAUUUGAUAGUAUUCUGCAAAACCAGAAUGCACUUUUUUUGUGUGCAGUUGCAGGUUUCUUGUCUCAGGAUAUUCAAGCAAAGUGUUAUAAGUCUAAAGGCACACUGCCCAAUAGAACUUUCUGCCAUAACGGAAAUACUGUGCAAUGUUAUUUAAUCUUUGUGGUCUCAUUAUGAUAGCUACUAGGCACCAGUUGACACGAGCACUUGUGUGGAAAGUGCCACUGAGGAACUUUUUUUUUUUUUUUAAGAUUUAAAAUUAUUUUUUCUACAUUUAAAAAUUUAUUUUAGAGGAACUUAAUUUUUAAUUUUAUUUAUUUAUUAAUAAAUUAAUUCCAAUUUAAAUAGCUAUAUAUGACUACUGGAUACUGCUUGUGAUAGUGAAGGUCUAAAAUUUUGACAGCCCUUCUAAUUUUUGUUUUGGUUGAGUUUUAAAUCGGAAAAGCCAGGUCUUGUAACAUUUAUUUUCUUAAGUAUCAUCAUACAUAUAUUCAAAUAAUGCUUUUAACUCAAAUACUAUAGUUCAAAUCAUUGGUCUGUUAGUACAUAUUUAUCUUUGACAACUAAAGCAAAGGAUUCUUUGGACUCCUAGCUUGUAAAACGACUGCAGGAUUUAGUUGGAGAGGCCUAACAAUGCUAACUAGAAUCAUUGUUAUACUAUAUUGUGAUCAUGGGUUUUCAUCAUCUUUUAUAAUUUUGGUUAUUUUCUUUAAAGCUUUUUCCAUUUGAAAGAUUUUUUUUUUUUUUGGUGUUUUUAACCUUUUGUGUAAUAAAGCAGUUUGAUAAAUUAUAGUAGUUUGAAAAUGGAAAAUUUUCCAUUAUCAUUUGCAAAUUGGGACAUUUGAGAAGUACUUUUAUUAUUUGUGUUCAAAACUUAGUUACGUGAAAUUUGUUGAUAUAUCUUUCAAAGAUUCUUUGAAAUAUGUGUUUUUCAGCGUAUAAAAUAUAAAAAUAAAACAUUUAAAAUUUUUUUUGGUUGCGCUGGAAUAGAACCUGGGACUCCCAAAUGCUAAGCAUGCGCUCUACCUACCACUGAGCUACCCCCAACCCCUGAAAAUAAAACUUAAAAAAACCCAAAAAACAAAACAAAAACUACAGAUAGCAACCUUAACUCUGGCCUGAUGCCUGUACAAUGACGCCUUUUUUCUCAAGGCUGAAGAUAGUUGGUAGAUCUGGAACAGUAACUUAAAACUCAUGAAUUAAGUCAUGUGCAGAGAAUAGUUCAUAACAUACUAAUCAAAAUGGGUUCUUAUGUAGGGUGGCCCUAUACUUUAAUGCUUCUGUGAAGCCAUGUUUGUUCUAGUAUAGUUAUUAAUAGAACCUUUUCGAUUAUCAAAAAUGUCUCAUUUGGGGCGGGGGUUGUGGUUUAGUAGUAGAGCUCCUGCCUAGCAUGCAUGAGGCACUGGGUUCAUCCCCAGGACCACAUAAAAAUAAACAAAAUAAAGGUAUUGUGUCUAUCUACAACUAAAAAAAUAGUAAAAAAAUGUCUAAUUUGGGACUAAAUAAUAAUAUGGUCACCAUAUUUUCAGGCAUGUUGAAAUCCAUAAUAUAUAAUUUUAGAGAAAUUAACCAUACUGCCAUUUCAGAAAUAUUACUACUUCUAAAACAGUGACAGUUACUGCUUUUGUUUUUAAGUAGUAGAUGAGAUACUUGGAAUAAAGCCAGCAAGUUACUUGUCCAUUUAAGGCACUGGUAAUUUUAAGAUUUUGUUUUGGAUAGAAAUCUUAAGUAGGUUGAUUUUUGUUUCUUGGAGUGGGGGGAUCUGUUGUUGUAGGGGACUACAAAGAAAGUCUCUCUCAGUCAAAUCAGAAGAUUGAGUAUUUGUAUUGAAAUAACAUCUGUUUUAUUUUAUGGUGAGGUUGAAUAGUGAAAUCCGAAAUCUGCUUGCUGUGUUUUAGAAUGUUAAAGAAUUUGCUUAGAGUUGUUUACAUAAAUAAUGAGAAAUAAUUCAGACAAAUGCAUUAUUGUAUUAAUUGAAUUUGUACUGUAGUGGAUAAAGUAUUUUAUUGAGAGUCAGGCACACCUAGUUUGAGUCUUUGUUCAAUUACUUAAUAAAGAUGUGAUUUGGGGCAAGUUAUUUAAUUUUUCUAAAAAGCCUCAGUUUUUUUUAUUUAUAAAAUGAAGAUAGUAAUAGCACCCACUUCCUGACUUAUAAGAGAUAAAUGAGAUGCAACUUUAUAAAUAUUAGCAAUUAUAGCCUUAAGUUUGAUCUUGAAGAAACACUAGUAUUCUGAGAUGCACUGUGGAUUGAUGGAAAGAACACUUAAAAUGAAUUAAAAAAAAAAAAAAUCUAGCUUUUGUCCUUUCUACCAUAUUCUCUUUGCCACUUUAGUUGAGAUAUUUCACUGAGCCUCAGUUGCCUCUUCAGUAAAAUGAAAUUAGUACUUCUUUCCAUUCUCCCCAAAAGAUUGUUGGUGAGCAUCCAAUAAGAUUUAUAUUUAGCUGAGCGUGGUGACACGUGUAAUCCCAGUGUCUUGAGAGACUGAGGCAGGAGGAUCCCAAGUUCAAAGCCAGCCUCAGAAAUUUAGGAAGGCCAUAAGCAACUUAGUGAGACCCUGUCUCUAAAUAAAAUUUAAAAAGGACUGGGAAUGUGGUGCAGUGUUUAAGUGCCCCUGGGUUCAAUUCCUGGUACACACACACACACACACACACACAUUUAUAAAUUGUAGUCUUAUUUUAUUGACAUUUUUAUGUUUAUUUUAUUUCAUCUUGUCAACCUAGUACCCCUCGCCAUAAAGACUGACUCUAAAUCUGUAAAAAUUGUAUAUUUUGUGUAAGAGCAUAAGUAGUAUAUAAAAUGGCACUAUUACUGCAAACUUUUUUCCCCCCAGACUGUUGAGUCACUGCAGUGGUGCUUUAUUGAGCUGGUUACAACUCUGUACACAGUAUUAGCAACUCUACUAAUAUUGCUAAGAGAGAACCAACCUUUUUCUUGGGCACUUGAUGUGUUCCAUGGAGUUUGCUGAAAACACUUUCCCUGUAUUUAUUUAUCCAGGCAGGUAAGUUUUAUCUAAUGAUACCAAUGAUGCUCUUUCUUUCUGGAACGGGUUUGUCAGGUGUUUUUUUUUUUUUUUUUUUUUUUUUUUUUUUAAGUAUAUAUAUAUAUAUAUAUAUAUAUAUAUAUUUUAGAUGUACACAAUACCUUUAUUUUGUUUAUUUUUAUGUGGUGCUGAGGAUCAAACCCAGGACCUCGCAUGUGCUAGGCAAGCACUUUACUGCUGAGCCACAACCCCAGCCCUUGUCAGGUGUUUUUGCACUCUAGUACUGGCCAUAAUAAUAUUUGGCUGAUAGUUAUUGAAUGUUUAAGGUUAAAUAAAGAUAAUCAACAUUAAAAAUCAUGUUAUUUGGCAUAUGGUAUGUGAUCAUUACUGAAAAAGUGCUGUAUUCAUUGAAUUCAGAGGACAGUAUAUAGAAAUAAGUUCUUCAAUAUUUGCAUAAUAAACUAAAGUAUUAACAAAUGUAAAUUAUUUAAACUAUCUUGACUUGUACUUUGCUAUUUUAAAUGGUGUAGCUGUUUCUGACUGAAUCCUAUGUAUUUUAACUUUAUUCAUAUAUCUUCUUUUUUAAAAAUAUAUUUAUUUUUUAGUUGCAGUUGUACACAAUACCUUUAUUUUAUUUAUUUAUUUUUAUGUGGUGCUGAGGAUUGAACCUAGGGCCCCGUAUGUGCAAGGCGAGUGCUCUACUGCUGAGCCACAACCCUAGUCCUUAAACAACUUUUUUAGAUAUGAGGGAACUGAGGCAGAGAGGUGACAUGACUUGCCCAAAGUCAGAUGGUAAUGGAUAGAGCCUGUGUUUGAACCCCAUAACCCUCCUGUUUACUGCUGCAUUGUGGUUCUAUUUAGGUAGAUAUUUCACAACAAAAUUUCCUAUGACAAAUUGUGGCAGUCUUGUGAGUUGUGAUAAACUUUUUUUUUUUUUUUUUUUUUAAUUUUUAUGUUUCUUGUUGGAUGGUAGAAAGAACUCUGGACUACAAGUCAGCGGGACCUUAGUUUUAGUCCUGACUUGUAUUGCUAAACAGUGGAGUGUCCUUGGGCAGUUCAAGAAACUUCAAUCAGAAUGGCAAUCAUCAAGAAUAAAAGUAACGGGCAGGAGUUGUGGCUCAGUGACAGAGCGCUUGCCUAGCAUGUGUGAGGCACUGGGUUCGAUCCUCAGCACCACAUAAAAAUAAAUAAAAAUUAAAGGUAUAUCAACAAAUUAAAAAAACAUACAAGUAACAAUAAAUGUUGGUGAGGAUGUGGAGAGGAAAGGUACUCUCAUACAUUGUUGGUGGGACUGCAAAUUGUUGCAACCACCAUGGAAAGCAGUAUGAAAAUUCCUUAGAAAACUUAGAGUGGAACCACUGUUUGACUCAGUGGUUAUCAAUAUCUAAAGGACUUAAAAACAGCAUACUACAGUGAUGCAGCCACAUCAAUAUUUAUAGAAGCUCAACUCACAAUAGCUAUACUAUGGAGCCAACCUAGGUGUCCUUCAAUAGAUGAAUGAAUAAAGAAAAUGUAGUGUAUAUUACUCAGCUUUAAAGAAGAAUGAAAUUAUUGUAUUUGCCAGUAAAUUGGUGGAACUGGAGAAUAUCAUGCUAAGUGAAAUAAGCCAAUCCCCAAAACCACAGGCCUCAGGUUCUCACUGAUUUGUGGAUGCUAACCCAAAACAGGGGAGCUUGGGAAGGGGAAUAAUAGAAAUAGAUUGGACUGGAUGGGGGUAACAGAGGGAGGGGAAUAGGAAGGACAGUAGAAUAAAUUGGUCAUAACUUUCCUAGCCUUGUGUUUGUGUACAUGACCAUGAUAACUCCAUAUUAUGUAUGACCACAAGAGUGGAAACCUAAUAUUAUAAGUUAUACUUUAUGUAUGGAUAUUUUGCUGAAAUACAUUCUACUGUCAUGUGUAACUAAAAAAAAAAAAAAAUCCUCUGGAUUGCUGUUUCCUCACCUGAAAAACGAGGGAUUUGGAUGAAAUUAGUGAUUUUCAAACUGUAGUCUGAAACUUGUUCAUAUGUCUUUGGUCCAGUUCCUACCAAUUAGUAUAGCUAUGUUUUUGUCUGUUAAAUUUAUCCUUCUGUUUCUGAGAUUUUCUUUGAACUGAACUUCACAUUUAAAAUCACCAUUCUCUAAGAUAAUUAAAUCAUACCAUAACUUCAUGACUGCUAUGUACAUAACAUUUUAAUAAUUUCAAAUUAUUAGGGUAUUAAAAGGAAAUAGGCAUCUCAUUUUUAAAAGUCUCUUAAAUAUAUUAUUUUAUAUUUACAUAUUUUUCCAACAUGUUGGGGUAAAAACUUUUUUUUUCUUCUAAUUUGUUAUGUGUGACAGCAGAAUACAUUUCAAUUCAUAUUACACAUAUACAGCACAAUUUUUCAUGUCUCUGGUUGUACACAAAGUAGAGUCACACCAUUCUUGUCUUCAUACAUGUACUUAGGGUAAUGAUAUCCAUCUCAUUCCACCAUCUUUCCUACCCCCAUGCCCCCUUCUCUUCCCCUCCAUCCCUUUAUCUUGAAAUAGGCAUCUUUUUUAUGAUUUUUUUUAAAGAGAGAGAGAGAGAGAGAGAGAGAGAGAAUUUUAUUUAUUUUUUUAAUAUUUAUUUUUUAGUUUUCGGCAGACACAACAUCUUUGUUUGUAUGUGGUGCUUAGGAUUGAACCCGGGCCGCACGCAUGCCAGGCGAGCGCGCUACCGCUUGAGCCACAUCCCCAGCCCUAGAUAGGCAUCUUUUAAAAAGAAAAAAACUAGAUACUAAAAUGGGAGAGAUUGGUGAAUUUUUAUUAAAAUACUGUCUACAUGAGUGGAAUAUUUUAGGUUAUCAGUUAUUUGGGAUCAAAGCCUAAUUUUAAUUUUUGAGUUAAAAUUGGGGAUGGAACCCAAGGCCUGUGUGUGUUAAGUAGUUGCUUUACCACUGAGCUAUAUCCUCAAUACACAAAGACUGAUUUUUAAAAGAUUGUGACCUUUGUUUGGUGUUUUUGUUCUUAAGUGUUAGAGGGAAAAUACUUACCUUGUAGAUGACUAUGAAAAAAUGUGAGCUAAUACAUAUGAAAGUUUUAUAUAACUCCAAGUUCAUCUAUUUUUUAAAUACCUACACCCAAAGUCCCUUGUUCUUUUUAGUCACUUAAAUUAUGUUUUUAAUUGCAUCAGAUUUUUUUUUGAAUUGUUUGUCUAAUAAUAGAUUCUCAUAAGGUUUAUUACUUCUAAAUAAGAGACUCUUGAUGUUUAAGAGGCCUCUUUUUUUUUUUUUAAAACAUCUUUGUGAAAUAUACUUAACCUAUUACUAUUAGGAGGAUAAUUGAUUCCCAAGUUUCCUACAUAUCUGAAAAGUUAACCAUUAAAGUCACUCAGUUUGUAAGAACAGCAGUGUUUUAAUGUUGGAAAAAUAAGUUUGUUAUGUGUCAUUUGUCAGGGUUUAUAUGAGGUGUGUUUUAGGACGACCUGGUAGGCACAUUUGCAGUGCACUUUAGGAAGAUAACUUUUGCAAAGAAUAAAAUUUAUUUUUCUUCUAUAAGAAUACUGGAUGUGAAAGCACAUGGAAUAGAAACAGGUUAAUAUGAGACUAAAGAAAAGUCUGAAAAAACUUAUGUCUUUGAGCAGUCUGUCACAAGUCUACUGUGUCUGUCAAAGUUAAAAAAACAAAACAAAACAAAACAAAACAAAACAAAACACCCUUGCUCAUGUAGCUAAGAUUUUUAAGUACUCAAUUUGUUUCUUCUAGAAGGGGUAGGCUUUCAAUAGUUUACAAAAUGUUUGAUACUAUUUUCAAUUAAAUUUCUGUUUUGAGUCCCCAUUAGGUGUCCACUGUUUUCUUCAUAACACCCCUGUGAGACAGAAAUUAUUUUUCUGACAGAGUUUGAGAGAUUAGUUUGUCUUUAUACAAGAUUCUAUAUUGAUUAAUCCUUCUCAACAGAAGCUCUGUCCCCAUGACUUCUGAUUUUCUGUAUCACAACACCUCUGUUUGAAUGUUGGAUAAUUGCCUCAAAUUUAAUAUGUCUGAAUUAACUCCUUAAUUUUUCCUCCUCAACCUUUGGUAAAUGGUACCACCAUUUAAGUAGUUGUUAGAGUCCCAACUCUCAGAAUCAUCCAUAAUUGCUCUUCUCUUACAUCCCAUGUCUAAUCCAUUAGAAGGUUAGCUGUGCUUCCCAAAUUCUGCAUUCCAGAAAUCUGAUCAUAUAUUGCCAUCUCCAUUUGUUAAUUAAAGCCCCUAUUAUCUCUUGUGUGCACAACUUUAAUAAGUUCCUGAGUGUUCUUGAUUAUACCUUUCUUUUUUAUAGUAUAUUCUCAUAGCAGCUAGAUUUAUCUUUUAGAACCUAAAACAUUUCAAGUAACUUUGCUUUUCACAACUUUUUGGUAGCUUCAUAUUACACUUAACUUCAUAUUACACUUAACUUCAUAUUACAUUUAACCUCCUGUGGCCUAUAAGGAUUUCCAAAAUGUAACCUCUUUGUAAUUCUCAGAUCUUAUUUUCAAUUGCAUAUCCUCUUUGCUCACUUCACUUUACUCAUUGGCCCUAAUAUUUUGGUAGUUUGCUAUUUUUUUUGCGUGGAAUUUCUUGAGCAUUGCCUCAGAGACUUCAUUUAGAUCUUAUAUUAAAUGUCACCUCCUAGUUGAAAUCACCUUGUUUAAUUUAUUAUCAUAGCAUUUGCUGCUUCCUCAAAUUUUAUUUGUUUUUGUGCUUAUUCCCUGCAUUAUAAUGUUUUUCUUUUUGGUUUAGUGACUGCUAUAUCCUUAGCUCAUGGAACAGUUUUAGGUCUGUAGUAGGUGUCCAGUAAGUAGUUAUGAAUUAUCAUCCAAAGCACAGAUGAUGUUGGCUUUAAAGAAAGGCUGCCUGUGCCUUUAUUCUAAGAGGAGGAAGAGAGGGAGGAAGGAUAUAGUGCCUUGGAUGAGGAGAGUGAGGGAAUUACUAAAUGAUGGUUUUUUAUGUCUAUGAAUUGGGAGAUGCUAUCUUCUGUCAGUAGAAGAGGGUAUUAAACUAAAAUAAUAUUAAGUUAAUAUGAUUAUUAAACUGAAAUAAUUAAAUAUUAGAGAAGGUAGAGUGCAUUAUAUUUGUGUAUCUGAGAAGUUUUCUUAGAGAUACUGAGCUUAUGUCAAUCUCUUGUAGACCACCAGAUUUCCAUAGAUAGAGAGGCAUUGUUUCAGAAGAUGUCAUGAGCAGAAGAACCAUACGGAUAAGGUUUCAAAAGAACAUGGGAUGGUUUGGGAGACACCAGAUAUUUAAUUUGACUGCUGUAGAAUGGAACCUGAUGGGGGUGGGGGGCAGAUGGAACUGAUUUUAAACACAUUUAAAACACAGGCUUUAAAAAACCUUCCAAAAGCCCCUUGAAGUGGUUUGUGUGUGUGUAUGUGUGUUUUUGUGGUGCUGCGGAUUGAACCCAGGGCCUUGUGUAUGCAAGGCAAGCACUCUGUCAACUGAGCUAUAUCCCCAGUCCAAUGCAUAUAUUAAUACAUAGGAAUCAGCAUUGUGUUAUCCUGAACACUAGAUAUGGAAGUUUUGUGAUACUUUGUACAUUUUUAAAAAUUUCAUUCUCAGUAGUUGACCAUUUGGUAUUAUUUUUCACAUUUGUAGAAAUUUAGAUUAUGCUAUAACUUGAGUUUAAAAAAACAAAACAAAACAGAAUUGAUGUGCCGUGUAUAAUAGUGUUGCUGUAACCAUAAUUGUUUCCUACCUUUGGGGUUUUAUGAAAAUAUUCUAAUUGUGAAAGUUUAUUUUAUUAUGUGAGAUUUUCAGACUGGAUGAUUAGAAUUGAGACUGGAUAGGUUUACAAAAUUAGUGUAUAGGUUUGAAUUAAUUUUUCUUAGCAGUGAUAUAACUGAGGAAAUGAUGAAAAAUUCCAUUUUUAUUAUCUGAUAAAUUCCACUAAUUAAUGGGUUGAUUGCUAGAUUUCACAGUCUAGAUUUUGCUUUUGCUUUGAGGGUGUAGAAACUAGUAAUAAUGAGAUUCUUAACUCUUUGAUGUCUUCUAAGCUUAAAGAUGUUUCUCAUGGUAGCUCUUCAAAAUAUGAUCUCUAAAUGGAAACCCAGUGUCAUGUUUCUUGCAUUUUGUUUGAUUCAUUUUUUUGUGUUUAUAACAAGUAACAAUUUUUUUUGGGGGAAAGUGGCGGCGGUAUUUUCUGUGGAAAGAAGUAUAUCCUAAAUUCCAUUGCUGUAAAUUAAAAAAUGCUGUUUUUUUUCCUUUGAAAUGGGAUUUUACAGGUGUGACAUAGUAUUGGCUGUUGGUCAGUGAUCAGGUUUACAUAGUAUUAAUCAGAAAUGAACUUCUUCUUAGGUUCACAUUUAAGAUGUGGCAUGUUGAAAUAAUCUUGAUCCCAAUCUGCACAUCUGAAUUCAUUUUGUAAAGUAUGGCAAACAGCUGCAUUUCAAUUGAAAGCUGAAACACUGCAGGACAUUAACCCAUUGAGAAGAUUACAGUAGGUUUUCAGUUCCAUGUUAACUGUAUUUAUUAGAGAAAAUUGACUUGAGUGCUUCUGCUUUUAACAGACUUUUUUAAUGUCUGGAAGAAAGGAAAUAAAGCAUUGAAAUGAUAGGACUUUGAUGUGAAAAGAAGUUAAUGUCUAAAGAAGUUAAUUAUCUAAAUCAUCAAACAAAAUAUAUGGGUAUGGGAAAUAAUUAUUUAAAAAAGUCUAAUGAGCUAUCAGCUCAUCAUGUCAAGAGAAAUGUUAUUCACCUGUUUGAUUUAAAAAUUAAAUAACUUGACUGUAAAAGGAUGAUCAUGGUUAUUAUAAACUAGGACUGGGAUCCUUUACCUCUUACCAAUAAAUACCCUUCAUGUGAAGCAUUCACAGUACGGAGACAACUGAAGAAAGCUGUGUGUGUGUUUUAUGGUGCUGGGGAUACAACACCAGGGCUUCCUUGCAUGCUAGGCAAGCACUCUAUCAUUGAGCCACAUCCCUAGCUCAGAGCUGUGGUCUUAAUACCAGUUUACUUUAUGAAAUAUCUCCUCUUCACAGAGGGUUGAAGCAGGGUGACUUGAUUUUAAAUGUAAAAGGGGCAGAUUGCUCCAGCAAUGUCUCAGUGAAGUUUUGGUCAUAGGAUAAUUCUACAGAAUAGCAUGUAUAUCAAAUGUGGUAUGAGUGAGUCAACCUAAAUCAUAACUGUUUUGGAGACUGGAGUUAAUAUGUAAUAUUGAGUUUAAUGUUUUCGGCUAGAUGUCACUGUCAGCUUUGUGUUGGGACAACAGGGGAACGUAUUCUGAGGUCCUUGAGAAAUGCAGGCCUUUUUUUUUUUUCUCCCCACAUUGUCUUAUUUCUUUUGGACUGUUCGUGGAAGUCCUUAGUUUUCUACCUAUUUUUGCCCAAUCCUGGACUGGUGAUGUCUUUUUUUUUUUGGCCCAGAUUUCAACAGGUAAUGUUUCUUUUCCUGUAAGUUGUCUGGUAACAUCUCCAGAAUUUGACCUCUUAGAUAUUUUCUAAUAUCAUAUUCUUUUAAAAAAUCUUUAAGAAAAAUUAGAAAAAAAAUUAGGCUUAAAAAAGUGAUAUUCUUUCUUGCAUUAGAUUCGUCAUAUAUUGUGGAAUUCUGGAUUUUAAGUUUAAUUUGAGUGGAAUAUUUUUCUUCUCUUUCUUUGGCCCUUGUUCUGUGCCUAGUGGUUUUGUCUGGGCCCUCAGAUGAGGCCAGAAAGGUCAGUGUGCUGCUUGUCUUAGCUCUUUGUCCUGUUGCCUCUUCAGAAUUGAAGCACAGAGAAAUUAAGUCACUUGUCCACACUUGUGGCAAGGUAGCAGAGCUGGCAAAUCAAACUUAGGCAGUCUGCCUUUGAGGCCAGACAUUGAUUAGAUUUCUUCCAUACAUCCUAUUUAACUUCACUUACCCUUUAGGUGAAAUAUGUUUUCUUUCAUUAUAUUGAAUUUGACCAGCUCAAGAGAGCCUCAGGGUAGCUACCCACUCUUGCCAUUCUAUAACAACUCAGGAAAUACACUUGGGCAAACUAAAUUAGUGACAAGUCUAGCUUGAACUGUUUUCUUGAGAUUUGCAGAACUGAAAAGAAUCUUCAGAUGUGUAAGCCAUUUGUUCCACAAACCUCCACUUGUGGGGCUGGGAUUGCACCUCAGUGGUAGAGCAUUAGCCUAGCAUAUGUGAGGCACUGGGUUCCAUUCUCAGCUCUGCAUAUAAAUAAAUGAAUAAAAUAAAGGUCAAUGAAUGUCAAAAAAAAAAAAAAAAAACCCACCUGUGAAAAGGUGCUUAUCAGUCUGGUGUUUCCCCAUCUCCUAUUUAAACUGACCCUAAAUCAACCCCCUGGGCAAGAUGAUCCUUUAAGUUGCCAUCUUCAGCUCAUUUAGUUAAUCCAUAAGAAGGUCUUUCUCUACCACUGCCUUGUUUCCUGAAUGAGUGAGUCUUUUGUCUGGUAACAAUUCCAGAACUUGCUCUCUUAGACAACAUUUUAAAGUUCUAGGUGCUAUUUUAUGGUAUGUUCUGAUUUUUUUUUUUUGUCCCUUAGAGUCUGUUUUUAUUUUAAAGAAAAUUACAAUAUUGCAAAGUUUACAUCAACUUUAUAUGAAAUGAUAUUAAACUCAAUUGUAUAGUAGUUGAACUUUUACCUACUUUCAUGACCUUUUUUUUUUUUUUAUGUGGUGCUGAGGAUUGAACCCAGUGCCUCGAACUUGAGUACUCUACCGCUGAGCCAUAACCCCAGCCCCUCAUGACUUUUGAAAUGCUAUUUUUUUUUUACUAAUUCUUAUUUAAUGUUACUUUCAUUUUUAAAAAAUUUGUAGUUGUAGAUAGACAUAAUGCCUUUAUUUUAUUUUUAUGUGGCCCUGAGGAUCAAACCAGUGCCUCAAGCAUGCUAGGCAAGUGCUCUGCCACUGAGCUACAGCCCUAGCCCAAAUGCUACAUUCAUUAAUUAAAAUAAUAUACAUUAGGAUUGGAAUCUAGUUUUCUCAUUUUGCUUUUGCUUAAUUUUAUGGGGAAAAAUCACAUUUUAGAUUAAAUGAGUUAUUUACUCAUAAGAUUAUAAAAUUUCACAAUGGUUUUCUGAUCUAUUGACUUUAUUUGUAUUUUAGACUUUGGUUCAAGUAGAAAUUAGAUUAUGCUCUAGGUUCUAAUUUUGUAUUUUAUAAUUGUAGAACUCUUUCUUUAAAUGAAUUCUUACUUGGAAUCUCCAUAUAUAAAAAUCAGUAGAAAAAUCAGUUUUCUGGUGGUCUGGAAGAAAUUGUGUUCAGGGGCCACUGGGAGCUCUGAAGAAGUACUAAUGAAUCUUACCGUUUCCUGGAACACAUUUUGAAAACCACUGAGCUCUAUUAAAAUAUUUUAAUGAAUACUUUUGUUACAUUUUAUAGAGAAUAGGUACUGAAAUGUUUAUCACUCAAGUAAUUGUUUAUCUUACUUGACUAAGAAGCUUUUUCAUCCAUACUAUUUCAUUUGAGUAAAGAAUAUUAAGUAUAAGCAAAUAGGACUUAUGCAAAACAAAUUAUCAGAAAUAUAAUAUUGGGGAUAUUUUUGAAUGGAAUUUGUAAUUGCUUCAGUUUUUGCUCAUGCAUUUAUCAAUUUUGUAAACUUUAUUUCUCCUUUUUAUUUAGAUGAAUAAUACUGCAGCUAGCCCAGUGUCUGCUGCCACUUCAGGUAGUGCAAGAAGUACAGGAAAGGCUAUAAGCUUUGCAGCAGAAUUGCAGAGUAUGAUGUAAGUAUGUCUUUGCAUGCUAUUACUAUUUAAAAUUUAUU